AUUGAACGCUGGCGGCAGGCCUAACACAUGCAAGUCGAGCGGAGCGGCGGACGGGGGCGUAAUGCUUAUGAAUCUGCCUGGUAGUGGGGGAUAACGUCCGGUAACGGGCGCUGAUACUGCAUCCUAUCAGAUGAGCCUAGGUCGGAGUAGCUAGUUGGUGGGGUAAAGGCCUACCAAGGCGACGAUCCGUAACUGGUCUGAGAGGGUGAUCAGUCACACUGGAACUGAGACACGGUCCAGACUCCUACGGGAGGCAGCAGUGGGGAAUAUUGGGCAAUGGGCGAAAGCCUGAUCCAGCCAUGCCGCGUGUGUGAAGAAGGUCUUCGGAUUGUAAAGCACUUUAAGUUGGGAGGCGUUACCAACAGAAUAAGCACCGGCUAACUCCGUGCCAGCAGCCGCGGUAAUUC
rnacentral:rRNA from 1 species